rnacentral:rRNA from 1 species
UGGGGAAUAUUGCACAAUGGGCGCAAGCCUGAUGCAGCCAUGCCGCGUGUGUGAAGAAGGCCUUCGGGUUGUAAAGCACUUUCAGCGGGGAGGAAGGCGGUGAGGUUAAUAACCUUGGCGAUUGACGUUACCCGCAGAAGAAGCACCGGCUAACUCCGUGCCAGCAGCCGCGGUAAUACGGAGGGUGCAAGCGUUAAUCGGAAUUACUGGGCGUAAAGCGCACGCAGGCGGUCUGUCAAGUCGGAUGUGAAAUCCCCGGGCUCAACCUGGGAACUGCAUUCGAAACUGGCAGGCUAGAGUCUUGUAGAGGGGGGUAGAAUUCCAGGUGUAGCGGUGAAAUGCGUAGAGAUCUGGAGGAAUAC